UACAGAGGGUGCAAGCGUUAAUCGGAAUUACUGGGCGUAAAGCGCGCGUAGGUGGUUCGUUAAGUUGGAUGUGAAAUCCCCGGGCUCAACCUGGGAACUGCAUUUGAUACUGAUUGGCUUGAAUCCGGGAGAGGAUAGCGGAAUUCCCAGUGUAGAGGUGAAAUUCGUAGAUAUUGGGAAGAACACCAGUGGCGAAGGCGACAUACUGGUCCGUUACUGACGCUGAGGCUCGAAAGCGUGGGGAGCAAACAGG
rnacentral:rRNA from 1 species